rnacentral:rRNA from 1 species
UACGUAGGGUGCAAGCGUUAAUCGGAAUACUGGGCGUAAAAGCGUGCGCAGGCGGUUUUGUAAAGUCUGUCGUGAAAAGCCCCCGGGGCUCAAACCCUGGGGAAUGGCGAUGGGAGACUGCAAGGCUAGAAUCUGGCAGAGGUAGAAUUCCACGUGUAGCAGUGAAUGCGUAGAGAUGUGGAGGAACACCGAUGGCGAAGGCAGCCUGGUCAAGAUUGACGCUCAUGCACGAAAGCGUGGGAGCAAACAGG